rnacentral:rRNA from 1 species
AUUGAACGCUGGCGGCAGGCCUAACACAUGCAAGUCGAACGGUAACAGGAAGAAGCUUGCUUCUUUGCUGACGAGUGGCGGACGGGUGAGUAAUGUCUGGGAAACUGCCUGAUGGAGGGGGAUAACUACUGGAAACGGUAGCUAAUACCGCAUAACGUCGCAAGACCAAAGAGGGGGACCUUCGGGCCCCUUGCCAUCGGAUGUGCCCAGAUGGGAUUAGCUAGUAGGUGGGGUAACGGCUCACCUAGGCGACGAUCCCUAGCUGGUCUGAGAGGAUGACCAGCCACACUGGAACUGAGACACGGUCCAGACUCCUACGGGAGGCAGCAGUGGGGAAUAUUGCACAAUGGGCGCAAGCCUGAUGCAGCCAUGCCGCGUGUAUGAAGAAGGCCUUCGGGUUGUAAAGUACUUUCAGCGGGGAGGAAGGGAGUAAAGUUAAUACCUUUACUCAUUGACGUUACCCGCAGAAGAAGCACCGGCUAACUCCGUG